UACGUAGGGUGCAAGCGUUAAUCGGAAUUACUGGGCGUAAAGCGUGCGCAGGCGGUUUUGUAAGUUUGUCGUGAAAUCCCCGGGCUCAACCUGGGAACUGGCGAUGAAGACUGCAAGGCUAGAAUCUGGCAGAGGGGGGUAGAAUUCCACGUGUAGCAGUGAAAUGCGUAGAGAUGUGGAGGAAUGACCGAUGGCGAAGGCAGCCCCCUGGGAUAACACUGACGCUCAUGCACGAAAGGCGUGGGGAGCAAACGA
rnacentral:rRNA from 1 species